rnacentral:rRNA from 1 species
UGGCCCUACGGGACGCAGCAGUGGGGAAUAUUGCACAAUGGGCGCAAGCCUGAUGCAGCCAUGCCGCGUGUAUGAAGAAGGCCUUCGGGUUGUAAAGUACUUUCAGCGGGGAGGAAGGUGUUGAGGUUAAUAACCUCAGCAAUUGACGUUACCCGCAGAAGAAGCACCGGCUAACUCCGUGCCAGCAGCCGCGGUAAUACGGAGGGUGCAAGCGUUAAUCGGAAUUACUGGGCGUAAAGCGCACGCAGGCGGUCUGUCAAGUCGGAUGUGAAAUCCCCGGGCUCAACCUGGGAACUGCAUUCGAA